UGAGGAAUAUUGGUCAAUGGGCGAGAGCCUGAACCAGCCAAGUAGCGUGCAGGAUGACGGCCCUAUGGGUUGUAAACUGCUUUUAUAAGGGAAUAAAGUUAGUCUCGUGAGACUUUUUGCAUGUACCGUACGAAUAAGGACCGGCUAAUUCCGUGCCAGCAGCCGCGGUAAUACGGAAGGUCCGGGCGUUAUCCGGAUUUAUUGGGUUUAAAGGGAGCGUAGGCUGUCCUUUAAGCGUGUUGUGAAAUGUAGGCGCUCAACGCCUGCACUGCAGCGCGAAACUGAAGGACUUGAGUGUGCACGACGCUGGCGGAAUUCGUGGUGUAGCGGUGAGAUGCUUAGAUAUGACGAAGAACUCCGAUUGCGAAGGCAGCCUGCUGUAGCGUAACUGACGCUGAAGCUCGAAAGCGUGGGUAUCGAACAGGAUUAGAUACCCUGGUAGU
rnacentral:rRNA from 1 species